rnacentral:rRNA from 1 species
AUACGGGGGGGACGAGCGUUGUUCGGAUUCACUGGGCGUAAAGGGCGUGUAGGCGGACCUUUAAGUCGGGCGUGAAAUCUCGGGGCUUAACCCCGAGCCUGCGUCCGAUACUAUUGGUCUUGAGUAUGUGAGAGGAAAGUGGAAUUCCAGGUGUAGCGGUGGAAUGCGUAGAUAUCUGGAAGAACACCGGUAGCGAAGGCGGCUUUCUGGCACAAUACUGACGCUGAGGCGCGAAGGCCGGGGGAGCAAACAGGAUUAGAAACCCUAGUAGUCC